rnacentral:rRNA from 1 species
AGAGUUUGAUCCUGGCUCAGGAUGAACGUUGGCGGCGUGGAUUAGGCAUGCAAGUCGAACGAGUCUCUGGGGGGUAACUCCUAGAGGAAAGUGGCGAAAGGGGCAGUAAUGUAUGGGUAACCUACCUUGAGGUCUGGGAUAGCUAUUCUAACGGAUAGGUAAUACUGGACGGCCUAAGUUGUCGGCAUCGACGAUUUAGUAAAGGUUACGCCUCGAGAGGGGCCCAUAUGAUAUUAGCUAGUUGGUGGGGUAAUGGCCCACCAAGGCAAAGAUGUCUAGCGGGUGUGAGAGCACGACCCGCGUCAUUGGCACUGAGACACUGGCCAAACUCCUACGGGAGGCUGCAGUCGAGGAUCUUCGGCAAUGGACGAAAGUCUGACCGAGCAACGCCGCGUGUGCGAUGAAGGCCUUCGGGUUGUAAAGCACUGUCGAGGGGAAACAAGCCGUAAGGUUGAGUGACCCCUGGAGGAAGCACGGGCUAAGUUCGUGCCAGCAGCCGCGGUAAGACGAACCGUGCAAACGUUAUUCGGAAUCACUGGGCUUAAAGGGCGCGUAGGCGGGUGAUCAAGUCAAUGGUGAAAUCCUCCAGCUUAACUGGAGAAGUGCCUUUGAUACUGAUUGUCUAGAGGGAGGUAGGGGCAUGUGGAACUUCAGGUGGAGCGGUGAAAUGCGUAGAUAUCUGAAGGAACGCCAGUGGCGAAAGCGAUGUGCUGGACCUCUUCUGACGCUGAGGCGCGAAAGCUAGGGGAUCAAACGGGAUUAGAUACCCUGGUAGUCC